CCCUCUUCUCCAUCCUGCACACAGGAGAGACAAAAUCCCUUCGAAACCCCUUCGUCUUCAUUUACCGAUGGAUACCAGCAUCGAUCCUCGUUCUUCUUAUUGUCGCUAACCAAGGGAUGGCGGCGUCUUUUAUUUAUCGAACGGGCACAGUCCUCGAGGAAAAGAGAGAGAAGCACGAAGUUGCUGAAACAGGCUGCGCGGCUCGAGCGAAUAUUUCAUCCCGGUUGACGUUGCGCCGCGGUAAAUCAGCCUCUGUGUUCUUGGACUCGGGCCGUGGCUUCGAUACCUCGCGAUCCCAGCAUGCGGGAUUUCGCACUUUUUUGCGGCAGGGAGGGAGGGAGGGAGGAAGGAAGGAAGGAAGGAAGGA